AGCUCCUCUGGGCCGCAGCACGAUCUCCCAAAUACCUCACAGUGUACGUGGUUUUGGACAGCGCUUUGUACAACUACAUGGGGUCAGACCCGAAUGCUGUCACACAGAAGAUAAUCCAGGCUUUCAAUUUAGUCAACAAUAUGUUUAGUCCCCUUAACGUCACCAUUGUGCUGUCCUCCCUGGAGCUGUGGGCAGAGGGAGAUAAAAUACCGACAGCAGGGGACACAGAUGACCUUCUGCAGAGAUUUUUACAGUGGAAACAGUUGACCCUGGCACUGCAGGCACAUGAUAUCGCUUUUCUCUU